GCUGGUGUGGCCGAGUGGUCUAAGGCGGUAGACUCAAGAUCUACUGACGAAAGUCGCGUGGGUUCGAAUACCGAUCGAAAAAG